rnacentral:tRNA from 1 species
CCGCCGUAGCGUAGCUUGGUAGCGCAGAGGCCUGAAAAGUCUCUAGGGCGGGUUCAAAACACCCCUGGUAGG